rfam:Pyrococcus abyssi GE5 complete genome; segment 2/6
GCAUAUGAUGAGCUUUCCCUACGGCCCGAGCUCACGCGAUGAGGAAUACAGCCAGGGCUGAUU